ACGGAAGGCAGCAGUGGGGAAUAUUGCACAAUGGGGGAAACCCUGAUGCAGCGACGCCGCGUGAGUGAAGAAGUAUUUCGGUAUGUAAAGCUCUAUCAGCAGGGAAGAAAAUGACGGUACCUGACCAAGAAGCCCCGGCUAACUACGUGCCAGCAGCCGCGGUAAUACGUAGGGGGCAAGCGUUAUCCGGAUUUACUGGGUGUAAAGGGAGCGUAGACGGUAAUGCAGGUCAGAAGUGAAAGCCCAGGGCUCAACCGUGGGACUGCUUUUGAAACUGCAGUACUGGAGUGCAGGAGAGGUAAGUGGAAUUCCUAGUGUAGCGGUGAAAUGCGUAGAUAUUAGGAGGAACACCAGUGGCGAAGGCGGCUUACUGGACUGUAACUGACGUUGAGGCUCGAAAGCGUGGGGAGCAAACAGGAUUAGAUACCCUGGUA
rnacentral:rRNA from 1 species